rnacentral:rRNA from 1 species
AUGGGCAGAAGCAAGGGCGCCGCCGCCAGGCGAAGGAAGGUCGCCGUGGCCGGGAAAGCGAUCGCCGGCCCCAGCAUCAAGGCCGACGGCCCUAGACGCUGCCCCAGCCUCCCGCCGGAGCUGCUGGCCAACAUCCACGACCGCCUGGGGUUCCUCGACCGCAUCGCCUUCGCCGCGGUCUUCGCAGCAUCCUCCUUCUCCGACGUAUUCAGCCCAUCGGCGCCGUGGCUCCUCCUCCCCGGCAGGAACGACGAGAACCCAAAGACCGCCACGCUGUUCUCCAUCGCCGACCGGCGCGCGGCCACGGUGCGCACCCCGUACCCCGCGCUGCGCGACCACCUCGUCAUCGGCUCCUCCCGCGGCUGGCUCGCCACGGCCGACGGCCGGGGCCAGAUCUACCUCGUCAACCCCGCCUCCGGCGAGCAGCACGCGCUCCCGCACGUCGCCACCAUGGGCGUCUUCCUCCGGACGCCCUGCCAGUGGUUCACCGUGUGCGUGAAGCGCUUCAUGGCCGCCCGGUUCGGCGGCGGGCCGCCGUUCAAGGAGAAUGCCUGGGGGCCUGAGGGGCACGGCGCGCGCACGGUCACCGCCGACCACAUGGGCGUCUGGUUCCACCGGAAGGUCGUCCUCUCUGUCUCCCCUAGCCGCCACGGCAGCUAUGGCACCGCCAUGAUGAUCCUGGACAGUGAAUUCGGCGCCCCUGCCUUCGCCACGGCUGAGGACGCCGCGUGGAAGCUGGCGCCGUCGCGCGACGGCGUCGAGGACGCCAUUUAUCACGACGGACAGUUCUAUUCCGUAUCCUAUACUGGUGUCGUGGAGGCGUGGCAACGUGUCGCGGAGUCCGGCACGUUCACGAGCACGGCUGUCACGCCAAGGCUGACAAUUGAAGAAGGCGGCUCACCGUGCCACCGCAAGUACCUGGCGGUGGCGCCGGGUGGGCGGCUGAUGGUGGUGCUCAAGUACGCCCAAGUGAUCAAGGAUCUGCACAUCCAGGAUAGGUGGACGUGCUCCUUCAAGGUCCAUGUCCUCGGCGACGACGGGCAGUGGAAGGAGACGAAGGACAUCGGUGAUGUUGCACUGUUCGUCGGGGUGAACAACUCGUUGUGCGUACCGACGAGGGGGCACCCGGAGAUCAAGGCCGGCUGCAUCUACUUCACCAACGAUGAACUAGGGGUCGCUAAGCUGUGCAAGACCAAGGACCUAUCGUCGUGGUCCAACAAGAGUUGCAAUGAUGAGCCCAUCAACUCUGACGCUCAGGCCCUCGGGGUAUACAGCCUCAAGGACGGCACAGUGAAGAAGAUGGAGGCGCUACGGCAGCAGUACGACAUGUUCUCGGUGCCGCCGGUGUGGAUCACGCCUUCUGUCCCAUGA